rnacentral:misc_RNA from 1 species
GAUGAAGAACGUAGUGAAAUGCGAUAAGUAAUGUGAAUUGCAGAAUUCAGUGAAUCAUCGAAUCUUUGAACGCACCUUGCGCCCUUUGGCUAUUCCGAAGGGCAUGCCUGUUUGAGUAUCAUGAACACCUCAACUCUCAUGGCUUGCCAUGAAGAGCUUGGACUAUGGGGGUCUUGCUGGCCUGUGGUCGGCUCCUCUCAAAUGAAUCAGCUUGCCGGUGUUUGGUGGCGUCACAGGUGUGAUAACUAUCUACGCUUGUGGUGUUUUCCACCAGGUAACCUUCAGCAAUGGAGAUUCGCUGGGGCUCAUAAAAGUCUCUCCUCGGUGAGGACAGCUCUUUUUGAACGUUUGAUCUCAAAUCAGGUAGGACUACCCGCUGAACUUAAGCAUAUCAAUAAGCGGAGGA